rnacentral:rRNA from 1 species
GAAUCUUGCGCAAUGGGCGAAAGCCUGACGCAGCAACGCCGCGUGCGGGAUGAAGGCCUUCGGGUUGUAAACCGCUUUCAGCAGGGACGAAACUGACGGUACCUGCAGAAGAAGCCCCGGCCAACUACGUGCCAGCAGCCGCGGUAACACGUAGGGGGCGAGCGUUGUCCGGAUUUAUUGGGCGUAAAGAGCUCGUAGGCGGUUUCGUAAGUCGGGUGUGAAAACUCCAGGCUCAACCUGGAGACGCCACCCGAGACUGCGAUGACUAGAGUCCGGUAGGGGAGCGUGGAAUUCCUGGUGUAGCGGUGAAAUGCGCAGAUAUCAGGAGGAACACCAACGGCGAAGGCAGCGCUCUGGGCCGGAACUGACGCUGAGGAGCGAAAGCGUGGGUAGCGAACAGGAUUAGAUACCCUGGUAGUCCACGCCGUAAACGUUGGGCACUAGGUGUGGGAUCUUUCCAACGGAUUCCGUGCCGUAGCUAACGCAUUAAGUGCCCCGCC